rnacentral:rRNA from 1 species
AUUGAACGCUGGCGGCAGGCCUAACACAUGCAAGUCGAGCGGAUGAAGGGAGCUUGCUCCUGGAUUCAGCGGCGGACGGGUGAGUAAUGCCUAGGAAUCUGCCUGGUAGUGGGGGAUAACGUCCGGAAACGGGCGCUAAUACCGCAUACGUCCUGAGGGAGAAAGUGGGGGAUCUUCGGACCUCACGCUAUCAGAUGAGCCUAGGUCGGAUUAGCUAGUUGGUGGGGUAAAGGCCUACCAAGGCGACGAUCCGUAACUGGUCUGAGAGGAUGAUCAGUCAACCGUGGACGGGAACCGGGGCACAGACUCCUAGGGGAGGCACCAGGGGGGAAUGGUGGACAGGGGGGGAAAGCCUGACCCAGCAGGCCGGCGUGUGUGAAGAAGGUCUUGGGUUUGUAAAGAUGUUUAGGUGGGGGGAAAGGGCAGUAGUUUAAUACCUGGCUUUUUUGACGUUACCAAAAAAAGAAGCACCGGCUAACUUCGUG